GGGUUGUGAGGUUAAGCGACUAAGCGUACACGGUGGAUGCCCUGGCAGUCAGAGGCGAUGAAGGACGUGCUAAUCUGCGAUAAGCGUCGGUAAGGUGAUAUGAACCGUUAUAACCGGCGAUUUCCGAAUGGGGAAACCCAGUGUGUUUCGACACACUAUCAUUAACUGAAUCCAUAGGUUAAUGAGGCGAACCGGGGGAACUGAAACAUCUAAGUACCCCGAGGAAAAGAAAUCAACCGAGAUUCCCCCAGUAGCGGCGAGCGAACGGGGAGGAGCCCAGAGCCUGAAUCAGUGUGUGUGUUAGUGGAAGCGUCUGGAAAGGCGCGCGAUACAGGGUGACAGCCCCGUACACAAAAAUGCACAUAUUGUGAGCUCGAUGAGUAGGGCGGGACACGUGGUAUCCUGUCUGAAUAUGGGGGGACCAUCCUCCAAGGCUAAAUACUCCUGACUGACCGAUAGUGAACCAGUACCGUGAGGGAAAGGCGAAAAGAACCCCGGCGAGGGGAGUGAAAAAGAACCUGAAACCGUGUACGUACAAGCAGUGGGAGCCUCUUUAUGGGGUGACUGCGUACCUUUUGUAUAAUGGGUCAGCGACUUAUAUUCUGUAGCAAGGUUAACCGAAUAGGGGAGCCGAAGGGAAACCGAGUCUUAACUGGGCGUUAAGUUGCAGGGUAUAGACCCGAAACCCGGUGAUCUAGCCAUGGGCAGGUUGAAGGUUGGGUAACACUAACUGGAGGACCGAACCGACUAAUGUUGAAAAAUUAGCGGAUGACUUGUGGCUGGGGGUGAAAGGCCAAUCAAACCGGGAGAUAGCUGGUUCUCCCCGAAAGCUAUUUAGGUAGCGCCUCGUGAAUUCAUCUCCGGGGGUAGAGCACUGUUUCGGCAAGGGGGUCAUCCCGACUUACCAACCCGAUGCAAACUGCGAAUACCGGAGAAUGUUAUCACGGGAGACACACGGCGGGUGCUAACGUCCGUCGUGAAGAGGGAAACAACCCAGACCGCCAGCUAAGGUCCCAAAGUCAUGGUUAAGUGGGAAACGAUGUGGGAAGGCCCAGACAGCCAGGAUGUUGGCUUAGAAGCAGCCAUCAUUUAAAGAAAGCGUAAUAGCUCACUGGUCGAGUCGGCCUGCGCGGAAGAUGUAACGGGGCUAAACCAUGCACCGAAGCUGCGGCAGCGACGCUUAUGCGUUGUUGGGUAGGGGAGCGUUCUGUAAGCCUGUGAAGGUGUGCUGUGAGGCAUGCUGGAGGUAUCAGAAGUGCGAAUGCUGACAUAAGUAACGAUAAAGCGGGUGAAAAGCCCGCUCGCCGGAAGACCAAGGGUUCCUGUCCAACGUUAAUCGGGGCAGGGUGAGUCGACCCCUAAGGCGAGGCCGAAAGGCGUAGUCGAUGGGAAACAGGUUAAUAUUCCUGUACUUGGUGUUACUGCGAAGGGGGGACGGAGAAGGCUAUGUUGGCCGGGCGACGGUUGUCCCGGUUUAAGCGUGUAGGCUGGUUUUCCAGGCAAAUCCGGAAAAUCAAGGCUGAGGCGUGAUGACGAGGCACUACGGUGCUGAAGCAACAAAUGCCCUGCUUCCAGGAAAAGCCUCUAAGCAUCAGGUAACAUCAAAUCGUACCCCAAACCGACACAGGUGGUCAGGUAGAGAAUACCAAGGCGCUUGAGAGAACUCGGGUGAAGGAACUAGGCAAAAUGGUGCCGUAACUUCGGGAGAAGGCACGCUGAUAUGUAGGUGAAGUCCCUCGCGGAUGGAGCUGAAAUCAGUCGAAGAUACCAGCUGGCUGCAACUGUUUAUUAAAAACACAGCACUGUGCAAACACGAAAGUGGACGUAUACGGUGUGACGCCUGCCCGGUGCCGGAAGGUUAAUUGAUGGGGUCAGCGCAAGCGAAGCUCUUGAUCGAAGCCCCGGUAAACGGCGGCCGUAACUAUAACGGUCCUAAGGUAGCGAAAUUCCUUGUCGGGUAAGUUCCGACCUGCACGAAUGGCGUAAUGAUGGCCAGGCUGUCUCCACCCGAGACUCAGUGAAAUUGAACUCGCUGUGAAGAUGCAGUGUACCCGCGGCAAGACGGAAAGACCCCGUGAACCUUUACUAUAGCUUGACACUGAACAUUGAGCCUUGAUGUGUAGGAUAGGUGGGAGGCUUUGAAGUGUGGACGCCAGUCUGCAUGGAGCCGACCUUGAAAUACCACCCUUUAAUGUUUGAUGUUCUAACGUUGACCCGUAAUCCGGGUUGCGGACAGUGUCUGGUGGGUAGUUUGACUGGGGCGGUCUCCUCCUAAAGAGUAACGGAGGAGCACGAAGGUUGGCUAAUCCUGGUCGGACAUCAGGAGGUUAGUGCAAUGGCAUAAGCCAGCUUGACUGCGAGCGUGACGGCGCGAGCAGGUGCGAAAGCAGGUCAUAGUGAUCCGGUGGUUCUGAAUGGAAGGGCCAUCGCUCAACGGAUAAAAGGUACUCCGGGGAUAACAGGCUGAUACCGCCCAAGAGUUCAUAUCGACGGCGGUGUUUGGCACCUCGAUGUCGGCUCAUCACAUCCUGGGGCUGAAGUAGGUCCCAAGGGUAUGGCUGUUCGCCAUUUAAAGUGGUACGCGAGCUGGGUUUAGAACGUCGUGAGACAGUUCGGUCCCUAUCUGCCGUGGGCGCUGGAGAACUGAGGGGGGCUGCUCCUAGUACGAGAGGACCGGAGUGGACGCAUCACUGGUGUUCGGGUUGUCAUGCCAAUGGCACUGCCCGGUAGCUAAAUGCGGAAGAGAUAAGUGCUGAAAGCAUCUAAGCACGAAACUUGCCCCGAGAUGAGUUCUCCCUGACUCCUUGAGAGUCCUGAAGGAACGUUGAAGACGACGACGUUGAUAGGCCGGGUGUGUAAGCGCAGCGAUGCGUUGAGCUAACCGGUACUAAUGAACCGUGAGGCUUAACCUUACAACGCCGAAG
rnacentral:rRNA from 1 species